CCUACGGGAGGCAGCAGUGAGGAAUAUUGGUCAAUGGGCGCGAGCCUGAACCAGCCACGUAACGUGAAUGAUGCCUGCCCUACGGGUUGUCAACUUCUUUUAUAAAGGAAUAAAGUGAGGCACGUGUGCCUUUUUGUAUGUACUUUAUGAAUAAGGAUCGGCUAAAUCCGUUCCAGCAGCCGCGGUAAUACGGAGGAUCCGAGCGUUGUCCGGAUUUAUUGGGUUUAAAGGGAGCGUAGAUGGGUUUUUAAGUCAGUUGUGAAAGUUUUCGGCUCAACCGUAAAAUUGCAAUUGAUACUGGCAGUCUUGAGUACAGUUGAGGUAGGCGGAAUUCGAGGUGUAGCGGUGAAAUGCUUAGAGAUCACGAAGAACUCCGAUUGCGAAGGCAGCUUACUAAACUGCCACUGACAUUGAUGCUCGAAAGUGUGGGUAUCAAACAGGAUUAGAUACCCGAGUAGUC
rnacentral:rRNA from 1 species